UGACCUACGGGAGGCAGCAGUGAGGAAUAUUGGUCAAUGGGAGAGAUCCUGAACCAGCCAAGCCGCGUGAGGGAAGACGGCCCUAUGGGUUGUAAACCUCUUUUGUCGGAGAACAAAACCCGGGACGUGUCCCGGACUGCGUGUAUCCGAAGAAAAAGCAUCGGCUAACUCCGUGCCAGCAGCCGCGGUAAUACGGAGGAUGCGAGCGUUAUCCGGAUUUACUGGGUGUAAAGGGAGCGUAGGCGGCCUGGCAAGCCUGAUGUGAAAUACCGGGGCCCAACCCCGGGGCUGCAUUGGGAACUGCC
rnacentral:rRNA from 1 species